rnacentral:lncRNA from 1 species
UAUAUAAUAUAAAUGAUAGUAUAUAUAUAAUAGAGCUAGGCUGGUAUGGUAUACUAUCGGUAGCACGGAGGCCUCCAUGCUACCAAGUUGUUUUCAAUGAUGCAGUUUCCAAAUCGAUGAUCGGCUUCGUUAGAUUUGAUCUACACUAUUAAAAGUGUUUGGAAAUUAAAUUUUAUAAUUUUUUGACAUCAUUUGGCUAGUGAUUAAAAGGUCUCAAAAUUGACAAUUUUAAUGGUAGAUUUGAUGCGUUUGUGAAUUUAACGGUGUAAAACAAUCUAAAUUGGAUGAAAUUUUAAUAGAAAAUUCUUUUCACUAUUUAGAGUAAGAUCAGUACCUCCGAUCUUAAAUUCAAGUCUUUUAUCAUCAUUUUUUAUGAAAUUUUUAUUUUCAGCCGUUCAUUUUUAGACUACUUGUUUGAUAGGUAAAUGAUGCCGAAAUAUUAUGAAAUUUAAUUUCCAAAUACUUUCAAUAAUAUAGAUCAAGUCUAACGGAGCCGAUCGUCGAUUUGGAAGCCGCAUCAUCAAAAACAACUUGGUAGCACGGAGGCCUCCGUGCUACCGAUAGUAUACC